AUCCGUCUGCCUCUUGCCUCCCUUUUUCCCCGAUCCUGCAUAACUCCUCCCAUCGGACUCUUCUUUUUUCCGGAUCCACUUUCCUCCUCCCGUCAACCUCCUCCUGCCGCCGCCGACGCCCGUCUGCAUCGCCCUAAGGCCGGCCUGGUAAAUCCUGUAGGCCAAUCAAGAGAAGCAUCGAACGUGCUCUGCCCCUAUGGGGAAUUACCACAAAUUGUUUGAAAGAGGGGCCAGUUGAACAAGGUUACGCUUCGACAAAAAAAUUGAAAAAAUUUGGAAUUAAUUUUCUUCAUGGAAAAAUUUGGAAAGCGGAACAAAGGACUUGUCAGCAGUUUUUUUUAUUCACCUGACUUUAUGAAUUUGAUAACAAUAUGAUACAAAUGCAACAGAUCAGAAGGGCAGUGCCUAGACCUGUUUUUUUUUUUCAAACCAGACAGUUCCCAGACUUGAGAGGGUUCCAGUGGCCAUCUUGACGCCUCACCUGCAGGAUCUGAAAUAACAUCAAUCAACUUGCUGCUGACCUACUGAGAUGCAGUAGCAGACUUUCAUGCAAAAUAAGGAGACAUGCAAAUGAUUUGGCUGGUGCAUAUAGGAUGCAUUUUGCACCAAUGAUACCAGUGAAGGAAGUGUCACAGAGAGGAAUCACGCUGUGCUUGUCCUCGACACUGCUUCCUGCUCCUCUCCAUCAAUAUCCAGCGGUUCUCCACUGAGAUCGACUGGCCGUGGUUGUGGUUAUCACCUGGCUUGCCGGCCGUCGUGUUGCAGCAAGUCCUGUGCUCGUGUGGCCGCAAGUCUUAGUUCUGAUGGCCGAGGGGUUGUGCUGUUCGCCUGGUCGGUGCACCUGGUCGUGGCAAGUCUUGGUCACGGUGAUCACCUUGCCGGUGGAGUGGCUGCGGGGUGAGUUCCUGUCUUGAGUGGUGCAAAAUUGAUCCACGGGUGAGUUGGUGUUAUCCACUUGCAAUGUGAUUCCAUGUUGAAUUUUGAUGGCUAUCCUUCGUUCAAACAAGGUACCUGGGAACUUGGAUUACCCUUUCCUGAACCAAAACAAUGAAAGACAGCCACUCAUAGUUGAUUAGAUUUGUUGUCUAAGAAACCAUACUGCAUUGUCACACAUAGUUGGUUAAUUAUUACGUGGUCUUCAGUUUGGUUCCCUGUUUUGAUUAUCUAUUAAGGUGAUGGCACUGAUUUAACUAAAAGCUGUUGCCUCACAUUCAGAGUUUGUGGACAAUAAAUUUCUGAGAUGUGAUGCAAAGAAAUAUAAUCAUGAGGUUUGCUUGUAGGAAGACACUGUGCUUACCAUACAGAGUAGUGCUUGAUAUUUCAGGGUGAAGUGCAUUUCUCUGAUAGUUUUAUUUAUACCUAAUCAUAGGUUUUCCCUGUAGCUAAUUAUAGGUUGCAGGUUAUUUUACUAAUUUCAGAGAAAUUUGCAACAUGCUGCCUUGGAGCAACUCUGAAUCUGAAGUAAACAAACUGAACCUGUGUUUCUAGGUUUCUUUUUUUAUAAGAAUGUGUAUUGUAAAUUUAUAAGAAACUAAUAUUUACCAAAACAUUUUGUAUUCUGCCGAAAGUUUUGAGAAGCUACACAAUUUUCAUUUGAACCUGCAAGGUUUACAUAUAAUUAUUUUGUUUGUUUCCUAAUGGGAUGAUGACUUUAAUACUACAAAAGGCACGAUAUCUGUACUUGCCAAUUCUCUGCUAGAUUCUACUCUAUAUUAUUUCAUUCUUUUCUACAGACCAGGUUGCGCACACUGAGGACGACAAGAGAUUACCAGCCGAGCUAUAUAGCUCAUUGCUUGCUUGUGGUCUGCAAAUUGUAUGUCAUGCCAUUUUAUGCUUCUUCUCUGCUGUUUUGAUUCUCUGAAAUGAUUGAGUGUGCACUAUUAUGGUCAUUGCAUAUAGGCGUUCGUGCUACGAGAGCUGUUGUUUAGCCUAUUAGGAGGGCACCACAUUUCAGUUAUCUCCCAUUUUCUGUUCUAUUACUACCAUCUCGCCACUUAGUUUUUGCACCUUUUCAAUUUGUUGGUAUGUGGUACCAAGUUUGAAUGUGGAUAACUUUAUUUCUUUGGUUGGGAAUACUCGUAACUAGUAGGCAACUUACGAUAACUUGUGCAGUUCUUAAACUAUCAGAUAAAUGAAACUGGAGGAAAUGAACGUGUGCUAUGGUAAGAAGCCAUUGACUUGUACAUCGAUUACAAAUAUAACCAGGACUUACUAUUCAGUUAAAGUUAUAUAUUGCAAAUUUGGUCUCACGUGCUUCAUUGUUUCAGCCUGACAGGAAAGAUGAGCUCACAUGAGCCCACAUGAGGGAAGCCAUCACUGGGGUGGCCAAUGAGCUAGUAUACUUCAUUUUGUUUCAGCCUGAAUAGAUGAAAACUUCAUUUUGUUUCAGCCUGACUAGAUGCUUUCUUCAGAUGUUGGACUGCCUUGCUGGCAUAUUUAUAGGCAGUGAUAACUUCUUAUUCAUAUUCUUUCAAACACCUGGGUGGUAAUUGAUCUUCCUGCCCACCUUCUCACAUGCUGAAGACUCUGAAUUGAAUCUGCAUUCCAAUAUUAUGAGUGCGCUCCAUCUGGUUAUUUUGGAAAACUGUAACAAAUUUCAUGUAAAGAUGACAAUAUCUACUUGGUUUUUUUGUCAUUGUCUUUUGAAACUGUAACUUUCUUUGAAGCUUUUUCAAGCUGUUAUUGAUGGAAGGGAAAGCCUAUGAUUCGACUGUA